GGGGGCGACAUGGCUUCGACGUGGGCCGUGAGACCCUUGGUGUGCAUGCCGAGGCGCAGGGUUCCUCGUUAAUCCGCCUGCA
rnacentral:tmRNA from 1 species